ACGCUGGCGGCACGCCUAACACAUGCAAGUCGAACGAAGUAGCAAUACUUAGUGGCAGACGGGUGAGUAACAUGUGGGUAUCUGCCCUUUGGCCUGGAAUAACACGAGGAAACUUGUGCUAAUACCGGAUAAGUCUUUACGGAGAAAGCUUUAUGCACCAUUGGAUGAGCCCGCACUUGAUUAGUUUGUUGGUGGGGUAAUGGCCUACCAAGACUGUGAUCAAUAGCUGAUUUGAGAGGAUGAUCAGCCACAUUGGGACUGAGACACGGCCCAAACUCCUACGGGAGGCAGCAGUGGGGAAUCUUGCACAAUGGAGGAAACUCUGAUGCAGCGAUGCCGCGUGAGUGAAGAAGGCCCUUGGGUUGUAAAGCUCUUUCGUCGGGGAAGAAAAUGACUGUACCCGAAUAAGAAGGUCCGGCUAACUUCGUGCCAGCAGCCGCGGUAAUACGAAGGGACCUAGCGUAGUUCGGAAUUACUGGGCUUAAAGAGUUCGUAGGUGGUUGAAAAAGUUGGUGGUGAAAUCCCAGAGCUUAACUCUGGAACUGCCAUCAAAACUUUUCAGCUAGAGUAUGAUAGAGGAAAGCAGAAUUUCUAGUGUAGAGGUGAAAUUCGUAGAUAUUAGAAAGAAUACCAAUUGCGAAGGCAGCUUUCUGGAUCAUUACUGACACUGAGGAACGAAAGCAUGGGUAGCGAAGAGGAUUAGAUACCCUCGUAGUCCAUGCCGUAAACGAUGUGUGUUAGACGUUGGAAAUUUAUUUUCAGUGUCGCAGCGAAAGCGAUAAACACACCGCCUGGGGAGUACGACCGCA
rnacentral:rRNA from 1 species